GAGAUCCUUCUAAAUCAGUUGGUGUGUCCAGCUUGCCAUCAUCAUCGAUGUUGGCUAAGGACAAGUCGUUUUCUUCUGCUGUGAGUCCUAUCAAUUCGUUGCUUGCGGGGGAGAAGAUUCAAUUUGGUGCUGUCACAUCUCCAACAGUCCUCCCACCUAGCAGCCAUGCUGUUUCCCAUGGGAUUGGCCCUCCAGGUCCUUGUCGGUCAGACAUUCAAAUUUCU
rnacentral:misc_RNA from 1 species